rnacentral:misc_RNA from 1 species
GAUGAAGAACGCAGCGAAAUGCGAUAAGUAAUGUGAAUUGCAGAAUUCAGUGAAUCAUCGAAUCUUUGAACGCACAUUGCGCCCCCUGGUAUUCCGGGGGGCAUGCCUGUUCGAGCGUCAUUUCACCACUCAAGCCUCGCUUGGUAUUGGGCAACGCGGUCCGCCGCGUGCCUCAAAUCGUCCGGCUGGGUCUUCUGUCCCCUAAGCGUUGUGGAAACUAUUCGCUAAAGGGUGUUCGGGAGGCUACGCCGUAAAACAACCCCAUUUCUAAGGUUGACCUCGGAUCAGGUAGGGAUACCCGCUGAACUUAAGCAUAUCAAUAGCGGAGGA